rnacentral:misc_RNA from 1 species
GAAAUGCGAUACGUAGUGUGAAUUGCAGAAUUCAGUGAAUCAUCGAAUCUUUGAACGCACAUUGCGCCCUUUGGCAUUCCUUAGGGCAUGCCUGUUCGAGCGUCAUUUUCACCCAUCAAGCUCAGCUUGGUGUUGGGCGCCUGUCCGGCUACGCUGGACUCGCCUUGAAAGCAUUGGCGGCCGGUCCCGCGGCUUGGAGCGCAGCACAGGCUUGCUCCUCGCCCCGCGGGCUGGCGACCAGCAAGCGAUUGUACCACUUUGACCUCGGAUCAGGUAGGGAUACCCGCUGAACUUAA